rnacentral:rRNA from 1 species
GACGAACGCUGGCGGCGUGCUUAACACAUGCAAGUCGAACGAAGUGGCGAACGGGUGAGUAAUACGUGGGUAACCUGCCCUCCUUUUUGGGAUAAGCCUUGGAAACGGGGUCUAAUACCGAAUAAAGGGGGAUGGGCUCGCGGCCUAUCAGCUUGUUGGUGGGGUGAUGGCCUACCAAGGCGGUGCCGGGUAGCCGGCCUGAGAGGGUGACCGGCAACAUGGGGACGGAGAUACGGCCCAGACUGCUACGGGAGGCGGAAGUGGGGGAUAUUGCACAAUGGGCGAAAGGCUGAGGCAGCGACGCGGCGUGGGGGAUGAAGGCUGUCGGGUUGGAAACCUGUGUCGAUAGGGACCGGGUACCUGUAGAAUAAGCCACGGCUAACUACGUGCCAGCAGCCGCGGUAAUUC